rnacentral:rRNA from 1 species
AGCGAACGUUAGCGGCGGGCCUAACACAUGCAAGUCGAGCGCGAAAGGUCUUCGGACUGAGUAGAGUGGCGCACGGGUGAGUAACACGUAGGUAAUCUACCCUUUGGCGGGGGAUAACGUUCCGAAAGGAGCGCUAAUACCGCAUAAGACCACGUGGUCUCCGGACCGAGUGGGAAAAGGUGGCCUCUUCUUGAAAGCUACCACCGAAGGAUGAGCCUGCGUCCCAUCAGCUAGUUGGUAAGGUAAUGGCUUACCAAGGCAAAGACGGGUAGCUGGUUUGAGAGAAUGAUCAGCCACACUGGCACUGGAACACGGGCCAGACUCCUACGGGAGGCAGCAGUGAGGAAUAUUGGGCAAUGGGCGAAAGCCUGACCCAGCCACGCCGCGUGAGUGAUGAAGGCCCUCGGGUCGUAAAGCUCUGUGGAGAGGGACGAAAACCCUGGUUCAAAUAGGCUCCAGGCUUGACGGUACCUCUUUAGCAAGCACCGGCUAACUCUG